GGGACACUGUUGGGACCGCCUCUGGCUAAAGGAGGAGGAAGGAAUGGGCAACGGUAGGUCAGCAUGCCCCGAAUUUAUCCGGGCUACACGCGGGCUACAAUGGUCAGGACAAUGGGCAUCAACACCGAAAGGUGAAGGCAAUACUCUUAAACCUGUCCUUAGUUCGGAUUGUGGGCUGCAACUCGCCCACAUGAAGCUGGAAUCUGUAGUAAUCGCGUCUCAAAAUGGCGCGGUGAAUAUGUCCCUGCCGUCCUU
rnacentral:rRNA from 1 species